AGCUUAAAGGCAAAUUCUAUAAAGUGGUAGUUUGUCCGGCCAUGUUGUAUGGAGCGAAGUGUUAGCCAGUUAAGCGCGUUUACAUUCAAAAAUUGAAGGUGACGGAAAUGAGAAUGUUGUGUUGGAUGUGUGGGGACAGAGUUAGGAAUAAGAUUAUCCGAGAUAAGAUGGGAGUGGCUUCGGUGGAGAACAAGAUGCGGGAAGGAAGGGUGAGAUGGUUUGGGCAUGUGAUGAGGAGGGUUGCGGAUGCCCCAGUUCGGAGGUGUGAAAAGGCUAGCGUUGGAUGGCUUCAGAAGGAGAA
rnacentral:lncRNA from 1 species